UUUAAAGUGGCAGAAUUAUUGCAAAGAAUUUAAGCUUCUUCUAAGAAAAUUUUUUCCUUUAAAA
rnacentral:tRNA from 1 species